UCCCAAAUUGUAUGUCGCUUUGGAAAAAAAAUUUGUCCCAAAUUAUAAGUCGCUUUACAAUACCAAUGAAAUAUUAAUGUUACUUUUCCUAUUAUAUCUUUAACUAUUAAUUACUCCCUCUUCUUUCAAUUAUUUCAUUUAUCUUUUCCAUACCAUUUAUUAAGGAUAAUUUUGUAAAACAACUCAUAAUUUCACUUCCCCACACAAUAUUAAUUACAUUUCUUAAUACGUGUGAAAUGGCCAAAACGUCAUACAAUUUGGAACGGAGGGAGU
rnacentral:lncRNA from 1 species